ACAAAGUAGAGUUUGGAAACAUAAUGUUUUGUGACUACUAGCAUUUCUUAUCUAGCUUUGACUGAAGGAUUCUGGGGGUUAAUCGUCCAAAACUGUUAUUUUUCAACCUCUGUAACAGAAUUCCCAAUAAAAUCAAGAUGAGAGAACUUUCUUCUGACAACAGUAUACCGGAUUGCAGCCAGAAAGCUCUUAUAUAAGGUGAGAG